CGAGCGGGCCACGCGAUCGCUCCGAGUGAUCGGAGAGGAAAGUCCGAACUCCUCACGGGUGGCAUGCCGGGUAACGCCCGGUCGCGGUGACGCGAAGGAAAGUGCCACAGAGAACAGACCGCCUUCUCCACCGGGCAACCGAUGGAGACGGCAAGGGUGAAACGGUGCGGUAAGAGCGCACCGCUCCGCCGGCAACGGCGGGGGCACGGUAAACCCCAUGCGGAGCAAGGCCAAAUAGGGAGACCAGGGUGCCCGUCCCGCCCCGCUCACGCGGGAGGUCUCCGGGUCGGCUGCUCGAGCUCGAGGGCAACCUCGGGCCCAGAGGAAUGAUCGCGAGCCCGGCUUUACGCCGGGUUACAGAAUUCGGCUUACCGGCCCGCUCGGGGC
rnacentral:RNase_P_RNA from 1 species